rnacentral:lncRNA from 1 species
UUUCAAUAAAAUUCUAUAGGCCUAAUAAGACAUAAGCAGUCACGGGUUCAAGCCUUGGAAACAGCCUCUGGCAGAAAUGCAAGAUAAGGUUGUGUACGAUACACCCUUGUGGUGGGGCCCUUCCUCGGACACCGCGCAUAGUGGUAGCUUUAGUUUGGAGGGGAGCCUUGGAGUAACUGGUAAAGUUGCUGCCAUGUGACCAGGAGGCCACGGGUUCAAGCCUUAGAAACAGCCUCUGGCAGAAAUGCAAGAUAAGGUUGUGUACGAUACACCCUUGUGGUGGGGCCCUUCCCUAUAUACCGCGCAUAGCGGUAGCUUUAGUUUGAAGGGGAGCCUUGGAGUAACUGGUAAAGUUGCUGCCAUGUGACCAGGAGGUCACGGGUUCUAGCCUUGGAAACAGCCUCUGGCAGAAAUACAAGAUAAGGCUGCGUACGAUACACCCUUGUGGUGGGGCCCUUCCCCGAACACCGCACAUAGCAGUAGCUUUAGUUUGAAGGGAGCCUUGGAGUAACUGGUAAAGUUGCUGCCAUGUGACUAGGAGGUCACGGCCCUCAUGGGUUCAAGCUUUAGAAACAGCCUCUGGCAGAAAUGCAAGGUAAAGGCUGCGUACGAUACACCCUUAUGGUAGGCCCUUCCCCGGACGCCUAGCUUUAGUGCACCGGGCUGCCCUCUUUUUUCUAGGCUUAACAAGACAUGAUUCCACAAAAAUUGUAUAGGCUUAAUAAGGCAUGAUUUCACACAAUAGUAAAGACAUCAG